UACAGAGGCCUCGAGCGUUGUUCGGAAUUACUGGGCGUAAAGGGAAUGUAGGUGGUGACGUAAGUCAGAUGUGAAAGCCCUGGGCUUAACCCGGGAAGUGCAUUUGAUACUGCGUUGCUGGAGUACGAGAGAGGAAAGCGGAAUCCCAAGUGUAGGAGUGAAAUCCGUAGAUAUUUGGAGGAAUACCGAUGGCGAAGGCAGCUUUCUGGCUCGUAACUGACACUAAGAUUCGAAAGCGUGGGUAGCAAACAGG
rnacentral:rRNA from 1 species